ACUGCAUAAGUCAAUGCACAGUAUGCUGUUGUACAGCCUCGCUGUGCCAGUUCAAGUGGACUGAAUGUGUUUUGAAAGAGUGACUGUUUUUGGGGUUAGGUACUGGCUUUCUUGGGCAAUGCCCAAUGCUUGGGAAGCAAAGGGAGUAUUCCUACAUACUUUCUUUGUUCCUAUGCUUUCCUCAAGGCAUCUAUUUUUGGACUCUGUCAAGCGUUAAAGCGCUGAGCUGCAUGGCUUUCUGGUCUGAGCUACUGUAAUCACUUCUAUUUUCUUAUCUGAAGUGUGACUUGAAAAGAGAGCCUAUUCUGUGAUGCCUAUCUGGAAUAUAAGGUUUUGCAUAGCCACUUUGGCUCCAGGCCUAUCACCUGCAAAUUUGUCCCUAUCAGCUGUUAACUGAAUGUGCAUGCAGGAGCUGUGGAGAUGAAGACAAAGUGCCAGCUGGCUGUAAGAGCAUGCUUUUGUCCUCUCUAGUUACUAAUAAGUACCUUAACUGUCUGUUUGAAUAUAAUAAAGCUUUAUUUUAUGCUUUUAUUUUUUUUUUAGUCUGAAUUUUGCUUAGCUUGAGUAGUGAUUUUCAGAGUAAUAUGGCAAAUAGAAAAGUGUUCAUUCCAUAGGGAUUCCUGGAGCUAGAAAGGGAAUAAUUGAUCUCACUGGAGGUGUUUUAUAUCCCACAUGAUGUUGCAUUACAGUUAACUGUCUGCAGAUGUUUUCUCCUCUAAGUUGCAGGUCCCUUUUUCAAAGUUGGUGGUGUAAAAUAUCAAGUUGAAUAUCAAAUUGAGUAUCAAGAGUUACCACAUUCUACAAGACAGACUGGGGGGAGACACCCUGGAUUCACUUGUCCAGUUCUUAAGUUAUUUGAAUAAAACCCAGACUUAGUAUUUAAAGAGUGGCUACAAAGAAGAUGGAGACUCCCUUUUUACGAUUAGUCACACGAAAAAGAUGAGGGGUGAUGGCACACAUUGUUCCUGGGGACAUUACAACUGGAUACAAGAGAAAAUUUUUCUCAGAACAAUCAGCCAUUGGAAUAAUCUCCCCAGGGAAGUGGUGGAUUCUCCAACAUUGGACACUUAAUAGUCAGCUGGACAGGGUGCUGGGACAUCUAGUCUAGGUAAAGCUUUGCCUGGGAAAAUUGGACCAAGAUGAUGCUGGAGGCCCCUUCUAACCCAGAAUUCUAUGAUUUCAUGUAUGAUGUGGCUGGAUGUUCUAGGUGUGAUUUUGGAGAUGUAGGCAUUUGGGCCUGAAAGUCUUCCCAUAUUUACGAGUCACUGGAGAGCCUGGAUUUCACAGUCCAUAUCUGCUUGCUAUGGCUCCUGGUCAGUAUCAACACCGGUAGUGACACAAGAUAGAAGGACUUGAAUUUAGAAGUUGAUAACUUCCACAGAUAAAAUUUUCUGCUAUUAAUCUUAGUUACUGAUCCAGUGAGCUUUCCAGAGUUACUGCUGAGGUAUUGCUCACUCUCAUAAUUGAAAGAGAGAUUACUUAACAGCUGUAUUUGCUUAUGUUCUGAUUGUUUUCUUUAUUUGUUGGUAUUUACUUCUGAAUUUGUGCAGCUUGCUGGCCAGGAUUCCAGGGGAAUAGCGUGUCCUCCUUUUCCAAGGACAGCGAAAUCAGGAGCUGAGUACCAGCACACUGACACACAAGCCUUGGAUGUACAAACACAGGUCAGCAGGAAUGGGAACAUGUCAGAAACUGGACCACCAGGAGUUCAGGCUGUAGAGGCCAUCGGAGACCGUCACUGAAUUUAAUGGCAAGAAGCUCAGGCAUAAUAGGAAGACACUGAACACAGAGCAAUCUGACUGUCAGAAUGUUCACAGAUUAAAUGCUAGAGAUCCUGAUGGUUCACAUACAAACCUUUCCAAAACUGAAUUCAGAAUCAGCCUUUCAGAAGAGCUUGUAGGAAUCCAGGGAGGAAGCCCAGAGGAAGGCAAAUCAGUCACACAUUCAGAGAUUACAGGAUUGUUGUGUGUUUGUGUAAAUUCAGUUAAAGUCAUUGCAUUCACUUUCUGCAACAAAAGAGCCAGGAUCGUCUGGGCAAGAUCUGAUUCAUUGCACAAUCCUGACUCAUCUCCAUGCCGUGGUCCAUUCUGUGCACUGAGCAGCUAUAUACAGCUCUUAUACCAACAAGCUGGAUAUGCUUCCUUAAAAAUGAUGGAAGAGAAUGACAAACUCAUCCCUGAGAGGCCUCGUGAUCCAGGUAUUUCCCUGCCUCUCUAACCUGAUGUGGCUCCAGUGACUGCUUUGGACAGCUGUAUGUCUGUGCUGGUGCUGAGUGGGUAGGUUAAAUGGAUAAAAUCCUAAAACAGUUCGUGAGGUGUGUGGAAGAAGAGUCCUGAGAUGGAGAGAAGGUAUUCUGGUUGCAAAGAGGCUUAGGGGAAUUUACUGGUAGGAAAAGGAAGCCUGAUUUACCUCUGGAAGGAUGUCUUGCUGUUUCCCACCACUGACCUGGACUGCUGGUAGUGUGAUCCUCACCUGUGAAAGACAACAGGAUGCCCUCCACCCUGAAAGGUUAAGAAGUGCACUGCACCAUAAUCAGUGUAACACUUCCCUCCUUAAAAAGACCACGAUAAAAUCAGUUCCUCUCUUCCUUUUCCUCAUGGGUGACAAAGCUGUAUGUAUGUAUGACAGUGUCUGUGAAGGUGCUAAGUGUCUCUGCUGGCACUGUCAGCGAGUGCUCAGUGCAUAAACAAGAUAGUUCCUAGUGGUUUUCUCAUGUCUGUGGUCCUUUAGAUACUUUUGGAACUCUUCGAGAUGCAAGUGUGCUCUCUAACUCCCAGUUUUUGGAGCACGGUGCAGCAGUGUAGGUGGCACCAUUAAUAUAUUAAAGGUCUGCAAGUCUAUCCUGAAACAGGGACAUUUUGCAUAAGCACCCAUGUGUGGAGUGUAACAACAGCGUGCUGUGGCAAUAAGGGCCUGGUUCAGGUCUGCUGCAACAGCUUUGCUCAUGGUUGGGUGGCUGGGGCUGUUCCAGGUGGGACGUGCACUAGUAUACAGAAGCACGGGUUGCAUGAGCCGUGUCCUGUAAGAUGAUCUCAUGACUGGAAACCCUUAGGAUACUGUCUUGGUGCUCCUGAGGGACCCUCAGCACCCUAGAAAGUAGUCCCAGAGCUCAGUCUUGCAGACCAUCAGGGGCUUCAGGUUCUCAAGGACCAGUGUGUCACUGGUAUAGGGCAUUACAGGCCUACCAGCACUGCUUCAGUGGUUGGAAGAAUUUCUGUCCUUCCUGCAUUUCAGUCAGACAGGAUCACCCUUCACAUUACCCAUGCCAAGAGGAGAGAUUGAGAACUCAGUGCCAGCACUGAGAAACAGAAGAUCAAGUGUUUGAUGGAUUUUUGUGCCCUAGGGUGGAGCACACUCACUGAAUCUGUGGGUGCAGUAAAUGUGAAGAGCCUCUGGCACACAGGAGCUGAGAGUGACAGAACAUUCAUGGACUUGAGCUCUCCAGCUCCCAGAAGUGUUUACAGAACAUAUUUGCACUGAGAUUUUCAGAGGCUUGUUGCUUGGCCCAAAUUUGUGCAGUGACUCAUAGGAGCAGUGAGAAACACAUCCCAGAUGCAGACAGCUCCUCUGUUAGAUUUUGAGGCUCUGCAUCACACUUUUUACCAGAACAGUCUUGUGUUUCUUUUAUGAAGAUGAGCAUUCGUCAAUGUUUCAUUCUCACUGACAGCUGAACCCAUGUUUUAAUAAACAAGCAAACAAAAUACCCUUCAGGUCCUUGGCAGUCAGCCAGCACAGAAAAUCUCUCUCAGACAGUUAAGGAUAAAAGUUUUAAUGUACUGACCAUACUGAUAACAAACCUAAUAAUGAAAGUGUCAUUAACUUCACUAUGUGUGUGCACAUGAUCAGACCAACAGGAGUUAUGACAGGGAGUAAAUUACAAGCUACUAAAUUAAUGAGAUCUUGUAUCUUCUAUUUCUGCAGCUAUGUUCCUCAGAUCAGUUUAGUGAUGCAAAGCAUUAGUUCUAGGUGAGUGAACACAACCCUCUAUGUUUUAAAUGAGAAAUUUAUUAAUUAUCAUAAGAGAAUUAUUAAUUAUUGAUUGAUAAUAAUUAAUUAGCCCAAACAAGACUGAACAAAUGUGAAAUAGGUGAGCCAAGCUCAUAGCAACCAUUUAGAACAUGAGGGGAUGCAUCUCACAUUAUAUGGACUUCCAGGUUAUUCUACUACAGAAGACAAGUGUAAAUGUCUUAGUUUCCACUGGAUGGUUCUGUUCAGAUAACACCUGUUCUCAUUUCUGUAACCAAAAGGUGGCAGCAUGUUGUCUACUUUCUCUUUCCAUCCAUCCUCCUAAAUAACCUUACUUGCUCAGUUUGCCAGGAAGUCCAGAACAAUCAUGCUGACUAAGGAAUGCUGAUGAGAUCUUAUGUAAAAUCAACUGUUUAUCACCUUUAAAUAGGAACAGGAAUAGAACAAGGGCUGGUGGUUUUAUUCUGUUGUUUCAAUGGCAGCCUGAUUGACUUUUGGAAAUGUGAAGAAAUGUUACAUCUCAGCUCCCUGGUGUAACUUCAGAAGGGAAACCUACCUGGAGAGCUUAACGGUUAUAUUAUCAGUAAUUGUUGUUAAGAAGCCUGAGCGAGUAGUAUUUGUGAGAUACUAUUGAUCUCUCAGACUUAACUGAGUUUUGUUCCUUCUUAGGUACUUCCUGCUUUGGUAAAUAGACAAUAAGCCAUUGGGCAUCCAAAGGUAGGGCACAUACUUUAUGCAGUGCAAAUACCAAGGUGAAAAGGACAUGAGGUAUCAUUUGAGUUUUGCUGCAGGAGUGCAUCAGUUCAAAGGCUUCUGGAAAGGUACCCAGAGAUAUUUCCCGUGUUGGCUGGUAAAGAGAUCUGAAGGUAGAGGAAAGCAUUCUGAAACAGGCUCUCAGAUCUGUAGGGGUACUGUAUGCUUGUCACAAUGCCACAAGUCCUCAGGAAACACAACUGCUACAGAACACUGGAGUGUGUGUCCUUAACAACUCAAAACACCCACAUGCAUAUCAAACUGAUUUCUGCUUCCUACACUGGCUUCCCAUACUCAUACUCAGGGUCUCAGUCAUGAGUUCCGAGCUGCUCCAUGGCCUGGGAACUGUAAACAUUGCUCUGGGAUCUUGGCUGCACUUAACAGUACUGCCCCAAGGCACUAUGAAGCUUUUUACCACAAGGGCAAAUAAAGCCUUUCAACUUGAGAGAGUUGACAGCUUCUCAGCCUCGUUUGCCAGCUGGAGAAUAGAUACACAGAAAGGGUAAGAAUAUGUAUGAUAAUUCCAGAAAAGUUUAGAGUCCCUUUCAAACCCCAACUCAGCAGAUGCAUACGAAGAAAUGCCCCAAGUACAAGCCUCAGCAGCCAUCCAGUUUGAGUCCAUAAACACUUCUGAAAUCAUGAUAUACUUAGCUGAUAUGCAUGCUGCAGUUCACAAGUAUGGCUAGUGGAGAGCAGCAAUCCCACAUGGCACUAUACCUCCUGUCUUUGCUGUCCAUAACUAGAGAUCAGACUUAAAGGAGGAAGACAAUUUACAGACAGUGAUGGAUGGAGGAUUAAGAAUGAUGUGGAAGCUGAUGCUGCCAAGCAAGACACAAUUGCAGGGAAGGUCACUUAGGUGUCUGAGAGCAUCCUUUGUCUGUCAUAACUGCCAGUGGAGAUGCAUUUUGGGGGAGUAGCUCACAAAGUGAAGACACAACUCUUCUAGAUAUCAAGGAUCAUCUUAAUUUAUUACUCAUCCCUCCAAAAGGAAGAGCAAGGUUUUGGCCUGCUGUCUCUGACACAGAAGCAUCACUAAUAAAAGCUCCCCAUGCAUCACAUUCUCCUUCAUAAGAGUAGAAGAGGAACAAUGCUUAUAUGAAAAUCUUAUGGGAUGUUAGCCCCACACAUGAAUGCAAAGCACUAAAAUGAAGCAAAGUAAAAACACACAUGGUGAAGGAUUUCCAGGCUUUAGUCUGGGGCUGUCAUCAGUAGACAUACCUUUGAGGGAGGCUGGAGGAUUCUGAUGAUGUGGUUGUAUUGAGAUGCUCCUCAGCAGCACAGCACUGGGUGGGUGGUUUGCUGUGCAGUAUGUCUUUUGCUCUCUAUUGUGUGAGUGGCUGCUGCUGGCCUGUCAGUGCCUGCAGCUUGCCAUCCUAUGUAAUCUGUCCUCAGUUCAGUUCCCUUUCCACAAUGUCCACACUGACUCAUGAAAGAGGGGAUAACCAGUAAAAGGUGGCACACAUGAUGAACCCUAACCACUGCAAGUCUGUUACUCAGGAUGAAGGUUGCCCCUCACCAGUCACACUUGGUUUAAUAUCUAGCAUUGGAGAGGCAGCAAAAAGGGAUUAUAACUCAUUUUCUUUUAUGUACUCACAAAUACACAGGUGGGAAAAUCCUCUGUGAAUUGUCUUGUGUUUUACACGCUGUCUGCCAAGGGAUGAGUUAAUAAGUUCAGCCAUGCCAAUACGAGCAGAUUUCUGUUCUGCUUCUCUGUUGCUGCCUCCGUUUCCCACCUCUUGCUGAACAGCUGGUCGCUAGAAAGAGAGGAAAUAUUUCUGUUCUGAGAUUUGAAAACCAGCUUGAAAGAGAAAGGACAGAGAACACCUCAGUAUGUUCUCUCCCUCCUUUGGUGUUAGUGCAGCUGGGAAAUUGUCUGUAUGGCUAGCAACUCUCAGACCUUUUUAGACCUGGAAUAGACAUUCAGCACAGGUUCUAUUUUGAAUAAGAACCUAUUUUCCUCUAUCCCUCAUUUUAAAAGCAUCUGCAGUUCACAGCUACGCCAAAACUGACAAGUCUGCGCGUCAAAUGGAAAUGCCAGCAUAAUAUGGUGUGACAUGAACAGUGGCCAAACAUUUUCUCGUGGCUUUUUUUUUAUUGCCGGUGCAACAAAGGUAUUUCUUUAACAUUUUUUUGUCUCAGAUCAAGAUGGCGUCUUAAGACCAUGUUUAUUCUGGUGAGUUUCCUUUUCUGCUACCUUUAUACUCUUCUCCUUUCCUCCAGUGACAUUUGCAGUUUAAUACAGGUUAGUAGAUAGAAAACCCAGAAACAUCCCAUACCACAACAUCCAUUUUCUUUUCCACCUAGAUAAAAAGUGCUAGCAAAAAAGCAGAACCUGCAUCAGAUCUAAAUGGCUGAUCCCAAGAUAAAAGGUGAUUCAUGGCAUAAUCAAUCUUCAAAGCCCAUUUUUUUAAUCCAAACAAUGACAGUUUAAUCCUCUGUUAACUUCAGUUUUCAGAUGGAGGCAAUUUUCAACUCGAGCUUGGAAGGAAUUAAUUGGUAGCAAGCCUAGUGCAGAAAAGCAGCUUUGCAGGUCUAAGUGAUACUAAUAAGGAGAGACACUCCUGGUGUUCAGGUUAAAGAGGGCUACACUUCUGAUCUGGAAGUGCUUCAUUUUUCUCUCCUCAAAAAGAGCAAAGAAGCUAUAAAUUCUAUCUGCUUACCUUGUGAAUGAUUCCCCAGGGCAACUGGGGAGUCAGGACUUUCCAGCCUUCACCCAGAUGUCACUUGGGCACACCAGUGGCAUCGCCUUUGAGGGCUGUUGUGCAGCUGCUGUGUAGUCCCAGUUCUGGUCUGUACUUCCAGUUUUGGGGUGCCCUUGGGUUAGCGUCUGUACCACCCAUGCUUGGUGAAGAGGAGUAAGGGAGAAGGAAAGAUUUUAUUUGAGUUGUAAUAUUCUGGUGGGGAUGUGCCCCAGUACCCUUAAUGUAAGAGCUUCUCCCACUCCAUGAUCAGAGCGUGAAAUUUAUUUUCACUCCGUUAAGCUUAGUUUAAAAUGAGACCAUUUUGAAGCAGAAAACCAGAAAUUAUCAAUUUGAAAAUUGUCAAAAUAAUCUUUUCAUAACAUUUUUUAAAUAAAAAUGCCCUGAUACGGAAGCUCUGCCUCCUCUGUGGGAGAUCUCCAGAGAGAAAACGUUAGCUUCAGUGAAGAGAAAAGCUGAUAUUAUCUCUUUCCUUUUCUUUCAAGGUCUUUGCUUUCAUUGUGGUUGCUUGCUUUUACAUGUAUUCUUACCUUAGAGUAAUUGAUAGUUCAUUCUGCACAAUAGGAGUGCUUAAGAGCACAUAUGCAUAUAGAAUUGUGAUUUUUUUUUUUUUUUUUUUUACUACUUGUUAUUAACAUUGAUCUAAUUCUGACAAUGUUAUGAGUUUUAAUUUGGUACUUAUCAUGUUAUAACAUUCUGAUCUCUGUUUAUUCUGAUCACUGCUUAACACAGCACAGAGUGGGGAGAAGUGAAUAAAGUGGAAAUACGGUUAAAACACUAAAAGGGACUUUGUUACUUGCAGGACAAGUAGAUUUAGGACAAGGCUGAAGAAGGAACAUCACAGUAGCUGGUGUGAUGUUCUGCUGCUUAAAACAAGGAAUUUGGCAGCUGGGAAUGGCAGAAAUAGAUUUUUAGAGUUUUAUUUAAUGGAGUCAGAAGCCCAUUGCAUGAGUCUAGAAGAAUGAAUCAGUGAUAACAUCCAAGAUACUGGGACUGGCUAAUUGUGUUACUGUUGUGAUAAAAAAAAAGGACAGGGUUCAGGAGAACAGGGUAAGAUUUACUGGGAAUGACCAAGAGCACAGGUUAAGAAAAGGCAUAUACAUAUAGGUAAAUAUAUAUGUAUGUGAAUAGCUAUUAUUUAUCAGAAAGAGAGACCCAGGUGUAAGAAUAGACAGCUGAGAAUGAUCAUGAAUAAAGUUCUGUAUUUGUCACUUGUGUACAGGCAGAUACUGAAUCAGCUCAAAGCCUGUAUGUUUAGCUCUGCAGGAGCAAUGAUAAAUCUUGUUUGCCCAAAAGAACAGUCUCUAAAAAUGAUUUCCCCCUUCUUUCUGUUUUUGUGAUGUACAAGGGUGGCAGGACUAUAACUAAUCCCCUCCUGACUCUGCUUGUGGAUGCUGUAACUUCAUACAGCAGCACAGUUACACAACCUGAAACUUUAGCAUCUUUCUUAAAAAGUUGAAUUAAUGGGAACAAACAAUUCCCCUAGGGCUGCAUGGGAGACACACGUUAUAGAGCAUGUGGAGAAGAAAAAUAUUAGCAAUUUAGUCAUGAGGAGUUUCUGCUCAUGGAAGAGUAAGAAGGUUUUGUGCCUGACCUUCCUGAACACUGCCUAUCCUCAGCUUUCACCGUGAAAACGUUUAAAAUUGAGUCCCUAUUGAGCCAGCUAAAGCAAACAGCACAGUCCUCAGUGCUACCACUGCCCUCAGCUGUACUUCCUCUGGAUCAAGAAGUGGUAGUGUGUAACUCAUGAUGGGGAGUGUGUUUUUGGGGGUGAUGCAACCUCUGAGCUUGGCUUUGAUUCGAGAAAAGCACUUUUAUCAUCUGCACCCCAUUAUUGUAUUGGACAAGGAGUAAUGGGUUCAAACUAAAACCGGGGAAGUUCAGGUUAGAUAUAAGGAAGAAG